rnacentral:rRNA from 1 species
UACAGAGGGGGCAAGCGUUGUUCGGAAUUACUGGGCGUAAAGGGCGCGUAGGCGGCCCGCUAAGUCGAACGUGAAAUCCCCGGGCUCAACCCGGGAACUGCGUCCGAUACUGGCAGGCUUGAAUCCGGGAGAGGGAUGCGGAAUUCCAGGUGUAGCGGUGAAAUGCGUAGAUAUCUGGAGGAACACCGGUGGCGAAGGCGGCAUCCUGGACCGAGAUUGACGCUGAUGAGCGAAAGCGUGGGGAGCGAACAGG